AAAGUUGAUUUUGAAAGAAAAAGAUGGAAUGUUGACACUGAGUGUGUAAGAACAAAUGAACAUGUGAUGACUCAUGUUGCAACAUAAAAUGGUAAAACAACACCCCUUAAAGAGCAAGACUUGAAACUGUUUUGAGUUAGAAUGGAAUUGAGAUAAAAAAUAAAUAAAAAUUGAGUGCUGAAUGUCGAAGUCAGCAUUUUCUUCUAUAUUGCCAGGGAGAUCAGAAGGAGCAAAAGUUUAUUAUUUAGCAGACAUUAUACCGAGGACUUUACAAGCCUAACAUUAUUUAAUCCUCUCCAAACCCCCAUGAGGUAGGUUGUAAAAAACAAAGCGUAGGGAGACUGAGUUCUCAAGGUCAUACGGCUAAUGAGUGGGAGGGCUAGAGUUGGAAUCAGACAGACUCCAAACUAUGAAUUCUUCACAGUUAUGCUACACUAAAUCUUUCUGAAUCAUAGUUUACUACAUCAUUAUGGAAACUUUCUUACUUGGGAUUGUUCAAAGAAGUUAUAUAAAAGCAUGUUACAAACAGAGAGUAAACCACAGUACUCAUUUAUCCAGUAAAUAAUUGACUGUCUGCUAAGUGCCAGAAAUUGUGCUGCAUACCGGAAACAUGACAGAUCCCCUACCCUCGUGAGUUUAAAGGUGAAGGUAGUAAACGAAGAAGGCAAAAACACUGUUCAAAGAGGGAGUCUCCGUGCUGUGAGAGCACGUUGCAUAGGUAACUGCCCCCUUAGGAGUGGUGAUAUCUGAGCUGAUGGGCAACUUGAGUUUGGCACGAGCUCACGGCAAACAUCAUCUCACGGCAAACAUCACCACCAGUGGGGGAACUGCCCCGCCCCACUCUACGCCCCUUAGAGACUUGAAUUUUUUCAGAAGCUUUCCCCAGUGUAUCCCUGACCUGGUUGGAGGAUAAACUGGGCACAGAUUCUAAGGUCUGUGAGACAGUUAAUGUACAAUGGCUCUUCUGUAAUUCUGUUGCAUUAAAUAAAGGCAGGUUCUGUUUAAA